AAGCAUCAGGUAACAUCAAAUCGUACCCCAAACCGACACAGGUGGUCAGGUAGAGAAUACCAAGGCGCUUGAGAGAACUCGGGUGAAGGAACUAGGCAAAAUGGUGCCGUAACUUCGGGAGAAGGCACGCUGACACGUAGGUGAAGUGAUUUACUCAUGGAGCUGAAGUCAGUCGAAGAUACCAGCUGGCUGCAACUGUUUAUUAAAAACACAGCACUGUGCAAACACGAAAGUGGACGUAUACGGUGUGACGCCUGCCCGGUGCCGGAAGGUUAAUUGAUGGGGUCAGCGCAAGCGAAGCUCCUGAUCGAAGCCCCGGUAAACGGCGGCCGUAACUAUAACGGUCCUAAGGUAGCGAAAUUCCUUGUCGGGUAAGUUCCGACCUGCACGAAUGGCGUAAUGAUGGCCAGGCUGUCUCCACCCGAGACUCAGUGAAAUUGAACUCGCUGUGAAGAUGCAGUGUACCCGCGGCAAGACGGAAAGACCCCGUGAACCUUUACUAUAGCUUGACACUGAACAUUGAGCCUUGAUGUGUAGGAUAGGUGGGAGGCUUUGAAGUGUGGACGCCAGUCUGCAUGGAGCCGACCUUGAAAUACCACCCUUUAAUGUUUGAUGUUCUAACGUGGACCCGUGAUCCGGGUUGCGGACAGUGUCUGGUGGGUAGUUUGACUGGGGCGGUCUCCUCCUAAAGAGUAACGGAGGAGCACGAAGGUUGGCUAAUCCUGGUCGGACAUCAGGAGGUUAGUGCAAUGGCAUAAGCCAGCUUGACUGCGAGCGUGACGGCGCGAGCAGGUGCGAAAGCAGGUCAUAGUGAUCCGGUGGUUCUGAAUGGAAGGGCCAUCGCUCAACGGAUAAAAGGUACUCCGGGGAUAACAGGCUGAUACCGCCCAAGAGUUCAUAUCGACGGCGGUGUUUGGCACCUCGAUGUCGGCUCAUCACAUCCUGGGGCUGAAGUAGGUCCCAAGGGUAUGGCUGUUCGCCAUUUAAAGUGGUACGCGAGCUGGGUUUAGAACGUCGUGAGACAGUUCGGUCCCUAUCUGCCGUGGGCGCUGGAGAACUGAGGGGGGCUGCUCCUAGUACGAGAGGACCGGAGUGGACGCAUCACUGGUGUUCGGGUUGUCAUGCCAAUGGCACUGCCCGGUAGCUAAAUGCGGAAGAGAUAAGUGCUGAAAGCAUCUAAGCACGAAACUUGCCCCGAGAUGAGUUCUCCCUGAGACUUUAAGUCUCCUGAAGGAACGUUGAAGACGACGACGUUGAUAGGCCGGGUGUGUAAGCGCAGCGAUGCGUUGAGCUAACCGGUACUAAUGAACCGUGAGGCUUAACCUUACA
rnacentral:rRNA from 1 species